rnacentral:rRNA from 1 species
AAACAUGAAGUCGAACGAUGAACCUCCUUCGGGAGGGGAUUAGUGGCGAACGGGUGAGUAACACGUGGGCAAUCUGCCCUGCACUCUGGGACAAGCCCUGGAAACGGGGUCUAAUACCGGAUACUGACCCGCUUGGGCAUCCAAGCGGUUCGAAAGCUCCGGCGGUGCAGGAUGAGCCCGCGGCCUAUCAGCUUGUUGGUGAGGUAAUGGCUCACCAAGGCGACGACGGGUAGCCGGCCUGAGAGGGCGACCGGCCACACUGGGACUGAGACACGGCCCAGACUCCUACGGGAGGCAGCAGUGGGGAAUAUUGCACAAUGGGCGAAAGCCUGAUGCAGCGACGCCGCGUGAGGGAUGACGGCCUUCGGGUUGUAAACCUCUUUCAGCAGGGAAGAAGCGAAAGUGACGGUACCUGCAGAAGAAGCGCCGGCUAACUACGUGCCAGCAGCCGCGGUAAUACGUAGGGCGCGAGCGUUGUCCGGAAUUAUUGGGCGUAAAGAGCUCGUAGGCGGCUUGUCACGUCGGUUGUGAAAGCCCGGGGCUUAACCCCGGGUCUGCAGUCGAUACGGGCAGGCUAGAGUUCGGUAGGGGAGAUCGAGAAUUCCUGGUGUAGCGGUGAAAUGCGCAGAUAUCAGGAGGAACACCGGUGGCGAAGGCGGAUCUCUGGGCCGAUACUGACGCUGAAGAGCGAAAGCGUGGGAGCGAACAGGAUUAGAUACCCUGUAGUCCACGCGAUAACGGUGGGCACUAGGUGUGGCGACAUUCCACGUCGUCCGUAGCGGCAGCUAACGCAUUAAGUGCCCCGGCCUGGGGAAGUACGGCCGCAAGGCUAAAACUCAAAGGAUUUGAAAGGUAA